ACUUUUUUAUUUUCUGAAACUUUUCUUCGCUGUUUCUGAAACCCUAUUUUUCUUCGUUGUUUCUCAAAAAAAAAUAUUAUAAAAGCAAUCGUUCAUCGGAAGAGACGCAGACCAGAAGAACGCUCGCUCGCUAGCCUUUUACUAUUCUGUAAAUCAUAAUCUUUUUCGCAAGCGAUUCUCUGGUACUGUUCUUAGGUUUCGAAAUCAAUUUUUUCUUCUGGCGUUUUCAUCCGGAGAAAGCGCCGGAGGUUUUGGAAUCAGCUCCUCACCGUCUCCAAUCGUCAUCUGCUAUCCCUCGCCGUCGCAGUCAGCUUCUCACCGUCUCGGAGCAUCACCGUGACCAAGCCUCUUCGUCUUGCUCUGCCGUCAUCGUUGGGCUCCAGAUCCGGCGAAGGGAAAGCUUCGCUGUGACCGAAGGCAGAGCAGACCAACUAAGGAAUUAGUUACAUCAACAGCCCAAAAGCCAUGGAGUCAUCAGCUCGUCUCCAAUAUCCUCCUCUCCUUACCCAGAUUCUUCUUCACUUCCCCACGUUCCAUUGGUGCGCAAAAGGGUAUAUGUUUGAUUAUGUUCUUGUUUCUAUUGGGGGUAUUGAACAAUUCCUCUCACUUCCUCGGCUCGCCGUCAGAUCUGCCCUCACCUCCGUUGGUUACAGAGAAGCAGCAGUUCCAGGAGCGUUUCGACUUUGCCAACUCAUCCUCUCGGGAGCAAUCGAGUUUUGACGAGUUUUGGUGAAGGCUGGAGCUUGUUUACAGAAGAUCCAGAAUUCAUCAAGAACAUCUCCUGUUCGUCUUUAAGUUUCAGAUUACACAGAAUUCACCAAGAACAGGUUGCUAGUUUCUAAGUCUUCCGGCAUUGAUCAUGAUGGAAGUAUCGAAGAAGAACACAGUUGUAUUCACUAACUGAUUAUGCUGGUGGUUUGAAAGCUGGAAGUAGGAUUGAAUUCAAGGAAAGCUAGUUUUAGGAAAAUCAGUUGUAACAGUUGUACCAAACGCAGUGAAUAAGUCCUCAUCGAAGGAAGACACUUUGGAAAAGAAGAAGGCUUUCUUCUGGCACCUCUUCUAGCAAUAAGGGAGACGAGGAGGAUGUAAACGUCGAUUUGACAGAACAGAAGAAAGCCAAUGACGUUUAUUCUAUUUGAAUUUACGUUCUUUUUUUUUUUUUUGAAUAAAAAUUUAGAAUGUGCAUGUUUCUUUAAAUAUAUAUUGAAUCUUCGUUUAUA